UUAAGUUCAGCGGGUAGUCCUACCUGAUUUGAGGUCAGAAUUUCAAAGUACAUUGACCGCCGCUCCACAGGCAAGGUCGUGGGAGGACGCCAGAAGGGGAACUUCUCGGUCGAGCGAGGAUGAUACAACGCCCAGUCGAGUUCGACCCACAGGUCCAACCGAUGCAUUUGAGGGGAGCCGCCUCGCGGCAGCAAGCCCCC
rnacentral:misc_RNA from 1 species